CUACGGGGCGCUGCAGUGGGGAAUAUUGGGCAAUGGGCGAAAGCCUGACCCAGCAACGCCGCGUGAAGGAAGAAGGCUUUCGGGUCGUAAACUUCUAUCCUAGGUGAAGAUAAAGACGGUAGCCUAGAAGGAAGCCCCGGCUAACUACGUGCCAGCAGCCGCGGUAAUACGUAGGGGGCAAGCGUUGUCCGGAAUGAUUGGGCGUAAAGGGCGCGUAGGCGGCCAUGUAAGUCCGAUGUGAAAGUCCUGCUUUUAAGGUGGGAAUUGCAUUGGAAACUGCGUGGCUUGAGUGCAGGAGAGGUAAGCGGAAUUCCCGGUGUAGCGGUGAAAUGCGUAGAGAUCGGGAGGAACACCAGUGGCGAAGGCGGCUUACUGGACUGUAACUGACGCUGAGGCGCGAAAGUGUGGGGAGCAAACAGGAUUAGAUACCCCCGUAGUC
rnacentral:rRNA from 1 species